UUGAUGUUCUUUACACAAGAGCCUGGUGUGUU
rnacentral:piRNA from 1 species